UUUAAAUUUUAUUAAUUUGUCUAUAUAUGAUCUAUGAAAGAAUGCAGAGGCAUUAUUUAUCAUUUAAUUUAAAAUGUUCAAUUAAAAAUAACUUACCAAUUAGAAAAGAAUGAAGCCUUCAACCACAUUUCUUAGUAGUUCUUGGUGUGGAAGGAUCCAAGCGUGUGAAUGAAAGAGUGCAGAACUACAGGAUACACAGAAGGAUUGAAUAUGGAAAUUGAAUUCAAUUGAAGAGAUAUACAUAGCUAGGAUUGAAGGGAUAUACACCAAUGGUAACUAACUGAAAACAUCUGACGUCACCAAAGCUAAUUUAGUAAAAAUUAGCUAACUGGAAUGUUUUAGGUGCCUUUAUUUGUUAUCUUGCUGUUGAGGUAUAACUUUAUUAUAUCAAAAUUUUCUGCUGUUUUGUUCCUUAUAAAAUAUGAAUUAUGAUUCAAAAGUACAAGUUCUAGGUGGAAAUAUAGUCGUAAUAUAAAUGAGAUAGUAACCAUUUCUUGUUUUAUGUGAAUGUUGUAGUUUAAUUUACAUAGCUUCAAUUUCUAUACGCUAAUGAAAUUGCUUCUUGUUGUGUUCUGUACCCUACUUUACAAUAAUCAAGGAAUAGUUUUUUAUGGAAAAUCUAUUAGUUUCAAGAAAAAUCACUCCGAUCUACUUGAACUCGAAGAUCGUCUCAAGAGCAGCUCCAGAUUUUGAGGAUGAAGAGGAUGAGGAAGAAGAAAAAGAAGGGAAGAUUUUAGCUCCUGUGCCGGAUUCUAGCUUCAACGAAGAUAAUUUAUUUGAUGAAUCUAUGAGUUUGAAACAACUUGGAUUCUCAGAUGCUUGUCUGGCCACGUUAGCAUCUGGAGGUUAGUGAUACUGAUAUGCCACUUGCCUCCAUUGGCAUUCUUGUUGGUUGUGAGAAUUUCAUGCAUAUGUUUUGGUUCCAAUAUUCUUUAUUUUCUGGUUAAAAGGGAUGUCACUUGAUCUGGUCUUGUGGUCAUGUUGAUGUUGAUUUCAUGAAAACAAAACUUUUGUUUUGAUUAUUUGUUUGUUACUAACUCUAUUUGUACCACUAUCUUAUUUUCUUGCACCGCUACUGCUGAUUUAUUUCCACAAGAACCUGAGAUGUAAGUUAAAAGUUGUGAAUAUUAUUUCCACAUUUCUGUAGAUGAUUGCUGCAAGUUUCUCAUUUCCUGAGCAAUGGUUGAAUAGGCAACAAGAGUUUAAGCAGCAGGAGCAACUUGUGGUAGACAAAAUAGUGGCAUUUGAGGGGAGAAAUUUCUUAUCUGAUGAGACAAACAAGAAGAAUUAGAGUCACCUAAACCUUCCAUCUCUCUUAUAAAGAUAUCGGAAACAGAAUUUGAAUGUCUUCCUGGCUACAUGAAGGGUAUAGCGACAUGGGAGGAAGAGAUAAAAGAGAUGGAAAGAGAGCAAAUCCGAGAAGGAAUUGAUGAGUUUGGAAUAUUGUAUUCUGAAUUAAGUGAUUCCAACCGAUCUAAAGGCAGUAAUGGUUCUUUUGCAUUCCCUGUAAGAGACAGCCUUAGUUCUCCAAGCCUUAGGUUUUGAUAGAGACAUGCAGAUCUACAUUGCUGCUAGUGAGAUCUAUGGUGGCGAGCUUAGACUUGCACAACUAAGAGCUGCAUUUCCAAAAAUUGUGAGGUUCUGGGAUUGGCUCUUGCAUUCAUUCUUGGUGCAGGACUUCUUUUUGGAGCUAAACUAUUUACAAGAGAUGUUAAUCUCCUCCACCUCAUAAAAAAAUAGAAUACUUUUUGUUGCAGCCACCCAACCCAUCAAUACCUUGGCAUUUGUAUUUGAUAGUAUCAACUUUGGUGCAUCUGACUUUGCAUAUUCAGCAUUCUAUUUUGCAAUUUUCAAUGUGGAGCUUAAUGCUGCCAAUGCAACUUGGUUAUCCAUUAAUAUUUUAGAUUAUCCCAUCUUUAACUGUUAAGUGUAAUUUGUGACAUCAAUUAAUGAAGGAGAUCCAUGUAACAUUGGGAUGGUCAUCUUAUUUUUUAGGGGUAUCUUUUUAUUGAGACAGUGAGAUACUGGCUAAUGGUGUUGAAAAAUAACAUCCAAUUUUAUAGGUAUCAUGUAAUGAAUAUUAUGUUUAUCUAUGUGAUUUUUGGCUUUCUUUUUUUCAA